AACGAACGCUGGCGGCAGGCUUAACACAUGCAAGUCGAGCGCCCCGCAAGGGGAGCGGCAGACGGGUGAGUAACGCGUGGGAACCUACCUGAAGGUACGGAACAACUCCGGGAAGCUGGAGCUAAUACCGUAUGUGCCCGAAAGGGGAAAGAUUUAUCGCCUUCAGAUGGGCCCGCGUCAGAUUAGCUAGUUGGUGAGGUAACGGCUCACCAAGGCGACGAUCUGUAGCUGGUCUGAGAGGAUGAUCAGCCACACUGGGACUGAGACACGGCCCAGACUCCUACGGGAGGCAGCAGUGGGGAAUAUUGGACAAUGGGCGCAAGCCUGAUCCAGCCAUGCCGCGUGAGUGAUGACGGCCUUAGGGUUGUAAAGCUCUUUCGACGGGGACGAUAAUGACGGUACCCGUAGAAGAAGCCCCGGCUAACUUCGUGCCAGCCGCCGCCGUAAAAC
rnacentral:rRNA from 1 species